rnacentral:lncRNA from 1 species
GCAGGGGUGCCUGGGUCGGGGGCUGCAGGUGGGAGUGAGCAAAUGUGCUGUCUCGCCACCUCGGGACAGGUGGUAGGGCCUCUGACACAGAGUGGUCCUUCCUGCUGUUCACAGCUCAGCUCACCGUGGGCUGACCAUAGGUAGGUGACAGUCCCCUUUCUGGCCUCGGUUUCCCUGUCUGUAAAUUGGGGAUAAUAAGCUCAAGAGCUGUCCCUGCCAGAACCCAGUGGACAGAAAUCCAGCAGCUGCUAUGGGAAGCGACCCGCCCAGCCUGCCCCGCCCUGCCUGGGGAAGCAGGCCUUCUGCUUGAGGGGGACUGGGCGCAUGCUGGGCCUCUGGUCUGCGCAGUCUGCCCGGGGUCUGUGAGUGCUUGUGAGUGGGCUUCUCCAGUCUCCAGAUUCUCGUUGAAAUCCUAACGCCCCAGGCAAUGAUGUUAGGAGGCGGGGCUUCUGGGAGAUGGCAAGUUCGUGAGGCUGCAGCUCUGCUGGGGGAUCAGUGUCCUUCUACAAGCGGCUCCAGGGAGGUCCCUUGCCCCUUCCACCAUGUGAGGACCCGAGAUGGUGCCGUCUAUGAACCGGGAAGUGAGUCCUCUCCGGACGUGGAACAAGUUGGUGCCUUGAUUUUGAACUUGCAGCCUCCAGCACGGCCACUAGCACGUUUGAAGUCACACACAGGGUAGCGCCGGCCUGGACAGAGGCGGACAUCUGACAAGCGGGCCAAUGAGGAUGACAUCUCGGACGGUAGUCACUGCUACAACGAAAGUCAGUGCCCCACCUUGCCCAGCCGCAGGGUGGACCCUAAGCAGCUCGCCCCACCCAGCCGGUCCUGCCUGCUCUGUCCCUCCCAACCCUGCAAUGGGCAGAUUUCUGGGGGGCAGUCUCUGACCCACUGUGGCCCAGGUACAGAACCCCGCCUUCAAGUCUCUGGGCCUCAGUUUUCUCAUCUGUGUGUUGGGGACAAAGACGCCGCCCGGCCAUCUCACCAGGCUGCCGAGCAGCGUGGAAGAGCUCUGGCUGUGAGGUCAGAGGCCCUUUGUUUGAAAGGUCCAGGCCCAUAGGGGUGCAUGGGUUGUGGUCUUGGGUGAUAUUAGAAAAGCUAAGUCCUCUCUCCUGGGCAGAUGACACCAGAGGGAGGGUGCGAAGGUGGUGGAGAGGCCGGUGGCCUGGUGUGGGCUGUCAUAGGAAAGUGCCGCAGACCAGGUGGCCGAAACAGUGGAAAUCCGUUGUCUUGCAGUUCCAGAGUUCACAAGUCCGUGUAAUGGAGGCAUCGGCCGGCCUGGUUCCUUGAGAGGGGGUGAGGGAUCUGCUUCCCACUUCCGGCUUCUGGGGCUGUGCCGCAGUUUCUGCUGCUCUUCUGCUUGUGGAAGCAUCAUGGUCUCUGUCUUCACCUCACACCUGCUCCCUGUGCCCGUCUGUGCCCAAUUUCCCCUUUUCUCAGGGCCCAGACAUCUUAGAUAAGGGCUCACCCCAACCUAGCAUGACCUCAUCUUAGCCAAUUACGUUACCAGUGACCCUAUUUCCAAAUAAGGCCACUUCCUGGGGUGCUGGGGAAAGGACUUCAACGUGAAGUUUUGGGAGACACAGGUGCGCCCACAUCACCAGGGGUGUGUGAGCAUGAUGAGCAGCUCGGGGCUCUGGACCUGUCUGCGGGAGCUCCGAGUCCCACGGCACUUGGAGCUGGUUGAGAAUGGGGCUGGGAGCCCCAGGUCAGGUUGAAUUGGUGCUGGGGACACAUGUCUCGUCCCUGGUUCCCCCAGGCUUUAUUAUGACGCACAGUUUCCCGAGAAGCGGAGUCUGAGAUGGAGACUUUUGUACAAGGGACUCACUGAGAGGUACUCCCAGGAGAAAGUGGGGGUGAGACGCAGGACUGGGGGAGCUGAGCUGGGAGGGGCUCUCAGCCACAGCCCAGCCACAGCCCCAGAACCUGAAACGCACCCCAGAGUCAGCCCCACUCACUCAGAAGGGGGGUCCCUGCACCCUCCUCUGGCAGCCAUUGGCUGUGGUGGCCUCACAGGUGGGGCCCAGGGGUCUGUGUUCACACUGCCCAGCAGCAGGCGAGGCACACGGUGGGCUCUGGACGGUGGGCACUUGCUGGCUACACGUGGGGACAGAGCGGGUCCUUCCCUGCACCCUCUAUUCAUUUAUCCACACAGGGAUUAAUUCGUUUGUCCACUCGCUGGUUCCAUUCAGCACACCCCAUUCGCUCAGCUCAGCGUGGGCGGCAGAGGGGUCAGAGGUGGUGGGGGCCCAUGACCUCCUCUCUGGAGCUGCGCUAAACUGGCCAGCUGGCUCCUGGCUGGGGCCUCUCUGGGACUCAUCCUCCUGCCCUACUCACCUCCCUCUGCCUCUGUGCUUGCUGCUGACCACCACCCAAAGAAGCAGGCAUUUCUGGGCGAGGUGGGUCCCGGCCCCCUGUGGCCGAAGGUGUUCCCUGGGAAUGGACAGCUGUGAGCAGGCGGAGCCACACACAGAGCCACCGACCGGGCUGUGUAGGUGAAGGAGCCACGUGGAGGUGUGCAGGAGGUGGAACACUUAGGACCCUUUCCCGUGGGCAGAGACCCAGUGCCGGGGGAGGCCUGGCUGGGUCGUACCCCCAGCCUCACCCUGGCUCAGGACACCGGCACCCAGAAUCCUUGGGCCACUCCGAGCCCAGAGGCACCCAGGCCCUCCUUGAGCUACAUGCAGCUUUAAAACACACAUGUCCUUUGACCUCCUCCCACCCAGGGGGUUUCUCUGCUCUCUCCCCUUGAAUCUGGCGGCCUCCACCCCGCCCCGACCCCACACAAAUGAAUGAGCGUCCCCAGCCUUCUCAGCCCUGAGCACCAUCGCGGAUGGCAUUGCGGGCGCUUCUCCACCGUCUGCAUCAGCCCCCGACAGACGGUCCCAGUGGGACUGUGUCCCUAUUACCUGUGUGUCCCCAUCCCCUGAGCGGACCCGGUCGACUCAGUGCCAUGUGUACGAUGGGUAAAGGAUGAAUUUGUGAAACAUUUCAGAUACAUUACACUUGACACCAUGUUAGCUCCACUUUCACCUUUUUCGGUUCUUAAUAUUCCAGAAGCCCCAGUAAGACAGAAGAGUCUUGGGCCCCGGGUCUGGGGAGGCACCCAGAGCCCUUCACGGUUUCUUGACUGUCCUCGGAGAGGCGCUGAGCUCCGGGGGCGCAUCCAGCUCCCAGUGAAUUCUGGCGGCCACUGAGGAAGCUUCUGCUGAGAGAAUUAGGGAAAGGACCCCCCCAGGAGGGUCUUUGCUGGAGCAGACGCCCCGCAUCACCACCUGCUGCCCAUCCAUCCUGGCCAGCGGCUCCCAUACCCACUCCUGCCGCUGGGGGCUGACCGUGGCACCAACUCUUUUUUCCAUGGAAGCUGCCCUUUGGUUUAUGGUUGCUUCUUGUUUCUGGAACCUUUGUACCAGGAUCCCUGCCCCUGUGCGUGGCAGAAGUCUCCAAGGUCAUUCACCCCGGCCACGCUGCCUGGGGCUCCGGGACCGGCCACUCUUUCCUGACCACGUGGCUGUUCUUCACCAUCCUGCCUGGCGGCUUGUCCCGCCAGGGCUGGCAGGGUCUUCAGGAUAAGGCUGUGGCCCCCUGGGGUAGUUCCUCAGGCCAUAGGGAGGACGCUCAGCGGGCGAGAGCUGUGAGCUGGAUGGUGUGGACCUGACUGUGAG